rnacentral:lncRNA from 1 species
CUGCCUUCUGCGCGCUCCCGACUCCGCUCACCCCCCUCCCCCCAAGAGGUGGGAGCUGGGAGGCAUCCCCCGCCUCCGCCCCCUCCCCAUCACGCUCAGAAAGAUGAACUGGCAAGAGGUGAGAAGGGAAGAGGGCUCCUGGCUCCCCUGGGUGGGAAUCCGUGGGCUAGAGCUCGCUGGGUGGCCGCAAGUACCUCGGCCCAGUCCAGAGAGCGCGGAGCAGGAAGGGUGGGAAUCCAGUCGUAACCGCGCCCGAGUUCCAGGGUAAUUCCACCGUACAAUCUGGGCUGUGAGGCCGUGGGGCCGUAAAGAGCUCGAAGAACGCUGGAGGAGGGCGAGGCUAGGCCACUAGCUCUCCAAGCUCGGAAUGGAGAAGGUAGUGUGCCAAGAACUGACUGCGGGGAACCCGGGUGGGAAUGGAAGGUACGAGAGCAAGAAAAGAAACUUCCCUCCUCCAAGGAGGGUCUCCCCAGCCUUCUUUUCCAACCCCCGGUCAUCAUUAGCAUGGCCAUGAGGAGCCUAUGUAAUUCGAUCCCCAGGGACGACUGAGCCCUUGAAACCAAGCUUGCUGGAAAAGGCCGGGGUUGCUGGGCUCUUCUCUGCCCUCCCUCUUUCCUUGCUCUCCGCCCCUUUCUCCUCCCCACUCAGCUUUGCUAGGGGAGCCCUCUGAGAUCCGAAGCAACUCCACUGCUGGAGUUUGAGGGGGUAGGAGAAGGGGGAGGGGGAUGACGCUAUCAAACGUGGCCAGCGUGGGGGCCGGGCCUUGAGCUGCAGGCCAUCUGCUGGCUCUUAAGGACUUGGGAGCCUGCGUGCAAUCUUUAGCGCUUGGAAGGCCGGAACGCAAUUCCUACAAACAUUCCGAACUUUCCCUGUUUCUCUUUCUGGAGGGGGAUGUUAGGACUGCCUCCACUUUCCACCUCACCCCAUCUACUGCACGUCUGGAGUGGAGGUCGGGGCUGGCAGGUGGGAGAGGCGGUGGACAGAUGGCUGAGGGUGAAUGGGACAGUUCCCUCUUCCCCAACAUCUCCUCCCCUUUCCAACGGACUGUAUAGUUGCUUGAGUGAACUUUCAAGUCUUUCCAUAGAGAGAUACGUGCGUCACCCCAGGCCAGGGGUCCUGGUCUCCCUCACCCUAGUCCUAUAUUGAUGCUGCUGGAGUCUUUAAUUGCUGUUUACUAUUAGGUUUCAUGUCAACCUCGGGCUUGUGGAGAAAAAAUGCCAAGCAGAGACCGAGAACUGAUGCAUUCUUAAGCAGGAGAAGUCCAGAGAUCAUCUAAGAAGCUUUACAACCAAAGCUGCAUAGAUUUUACUUUGACAUGUUUGUGACAUUGGAUCGGAUAGAUGAAAUUAAUAGUGAGGAUUAUAGGUGGGUUUGGGGUUCCCAUGUCCUCCUUUUCUACAUUAAAAGAAAGGAAGUUUUUCUCUAGGCAGGCACAUUUCAAAUGUGUUAGUCAUCCUUACAUAUAUCUGUGUUCAGUUCUCAUAAAGAAGUUCUCCAAAAACCUGUCCCCACAAGAGGGAAAAUUUCUGUAGACCUUUUACUCUGAAUUCUCUCAGUAGCAAUGAAACAUUUUCCCAAACAUUUCCUUUUGGAACGGUAUUUUCCUAUGACCUUUGACCCACCCCAAGCAUGGAAAGAGGAAGAGCUCCAAAAGUUCCCCUACCCCAGUUUCAGCUCCUAGGGAUCCUCAUCCUGCAGAAGGGGAUAGACAAGGAGACCCUCUUGGAGAUAGCCUCCUUGGGAUCGCCAGGGUUGGGGAAACAAGGGGGUCUUGUUGGGCAGGGGACAGGAUGUAAGAGGGUCAGUGCUGGCAGUGAGGGAGAUCCAGGCCCUCUGCCCGCUUGCCUCCUUCCUAUACCUUCUUUGUGGGCUUCCUCCGCUCUGGUUUGCAAUAUCCUCCCGGCCGGUUGUAGUUCGCCUGCACAAAGCCGCCUUCAGCCUCAGCCGCUGUCUUUUCUCUCCCUCCACCUCUCUUUCUCCUGGCCUGUUUUCAGGGGAACCUGCAUGGGGUGUUUUCCUUUGGAUCACAAAUUCGCACUGCCACACAAGCCUGCAUACAUACAGGCCAACUGCCAUCCCACCUCUUCGCACUGCUCCAGCUCCCGCAGGCUGGCUCUGCCUCGGCUGGUCCCCCCGAGUGCCGCUCUCCUGGAGUGGCUCACAAAGGCAGCCUCCCGCGGCAUCCAGCCCGUAGGCUAGGCUUCGGUAGCUCCGAUCCUUCCCCAGCCGCCACACCACCUCUACCCCACCCCCAGGAAUCGUGGGAGCCAUUCUGCUGUAUAAGAGACCCUUGGUCCUCUGGGCAUGUAGGCCAGUGACCCAGGACUCAGCUAAAGUCUCUUUAAAUGCCUCAGGAGAGUGGGUGAAAGGCGAGCUUGGUUACGAUUAAAAUAAUCGCCUGCAAGUAUCUGCCUCUGCUCAAAACGCCUCUUUCGGGGCUCUUCUAGAAAGAGAAAGAGCGAGGAGGAGACAAAACGCCGCCGAGGCCCCGGAGCCGUUCAUGGCAUCCGCGGCUCAGCCAAGCUGUUGUUUUAAAAGAGCAAUAAAAAUGAAUUAUGACUGAAUGCCUUCUAACUUAAUGCUUUCGGACGGGGAUCCCCGGCAAAUACGUAAGAGGAUUUUUAUUUGUGCAUGUGUUCCUGCAAUUGAUCUCUUUGAUGACAUUCUCAUUCAUAGAAAGCGUUUGAUUUAUGAGCUUAGGACGAAUCGCAUCCAGGAGCGGCGCAGCCCUGGCCGCAGCCCGGACGCCCUGCUCGGCGC